AGUCAUGUGGAGAGAUUUGAGGAGUAAAAAUAGGAGAAAUUAAGAACAUGUUUGGUUGGGUGUAUUGGAUUAGCCAAUACACCCCUAAUCCGUGGGCCCCACUUAAGCCCCUCUUAAGCAGGUGUUUGGUUCAAUGUAUUGCCUAAUACACCCCUAAUACGUUACGCUCCUAAUCCCGAAAUUCUCUGAUUUCUAAUCCCUGGCUUCUCCUCAGUUUACAUCCGUUUUAUUUUUCACGCCCUAAUUUGCCCUCUGUUUCCUGGGUCUGUCUCUCUUUAUCUCCUUCAUUGCUUGCUUCGCCUUCGGCCAGUAGCCCCAAUUUUUUGUCGAGCAUGCCAUAGAGAAAGGCAAGAAGAGAGCUACUUCUGUUUUUCUUUCUUUGUUUUCUGUAACAGACCCAGAAGUUUUAACCCAGAAGCCCCAAAUUCUUCUCCUUUCUUUCUUUGUUUUCUGUAACAGACCCAGAAGCUUUAGAUUGACGAGGUUGUCGGAAGCUGAAGAUGCAACAACUCCCUCUCAAGCUUUAACCGAAGAAGGCAGAGAGUUACCUCCAGGGAUUUAAAUAGCGGUCCGUUACCGAAAUAGCGGCCGUUAUAUAGCGGUAACGGCACCGUCCGAAACCGUUACUGCCGAAACCCGCUAUACCCGCAAUACACAAUAAGUAAUGUAAAAUUCACGACCGCGAUACCCGCAGUGACCGCAAUAGCGUCCGUUAUGUCCGCGACCGCGACAAACGCGACGCGACCGAAAACGCGACCGCGACCGCAAUUUAAAUCCCUGGUUACCUCUUCCUCUUCUCUCUAUCUGAUGAGGGCAUUUUCCCGCCAAUGCAAUCCCGCCACACCAUGCUCUCUGCUCAAUCUUUUGAUGUCGUUUAGUGAAAAAGAGAAACAUUUCCACCAUUUAGGUUUAAGUAAUUCCUCACUUAAUUGGAGUCGCCAUCUUUUGAUGCAGGUAAACAUUUUAAUUUGAUUAACUAAAUUUCCCAAAGCCAAAUUUAUGAGAAUUUAAACGAGGGAGGAAAGUUAUGGAAUUUCUUAUUUUUAUAUCGCAGAGGUCUC
rnacentral:lncRNA from 1 species